AUCCAACUGACGAGUCCCGAAUAGGACGAAAUGCGCAUUUUCAUGGAU
rnacentral:hammerhead_ribozyme from 1 species